GACGAACGCUGGCGGCAUGCCUAAUACAUGCAAGUCGAGCGGACAGAAGGGAGCUUGCUCCUGGAAGUCAGCGGCGGACGGGUGAGUAACACGUGGGCAACCUGCCCUUUAGAUUGGGAUAACUUCGGGAAACCGAAGCUAAUACCGAAUAAUACAAGGAACCUCCUGGUUCUCUGUUGAAAGAUGGCCUUUGUGCUAUCACUAAAGGAUGGGCCCGCGGCGCAUUAGCUAGUUGGUAAGGUAACGGCUUACCAAGGCGACGAUGCGUAGCCGACCUGAGAGGGUGAUCGGCCACACUGGGACUGAGACACGGCCCAGACUCCUACGGGAGGCAGCAGUAGGGAAUCUUCCGCAAUGGACGAAAGUCUGACGGAGCAAUGCCGCGUGAGUGAGGAAGGCCUUCGGGUCGUAAAGCUCUGUUGUGAGGGAAGAACAAGUACCGGCGUAACUACUGGUACCGUGACGGUACCUCACCAGAAAGCCACGGCUAACUACGUGCCAGCAGCCGCCGUAA
rnacentral:rRNA from 1 species